rnacentral:rRNA from 1 species
GAUAAAUUUAUAUAUACAUACACAUAAUAAAAAAAGUAUUUUUUAUAUUAGUAUUGGUUAGAAAUUAAAUAUUAUAUUAUAGUUAAUUAGUAUAGAGAUAGGUUAUAUAAUUAUAGGAGGUUUAUUUAUUUAAAAGAAGAAUUAAUUUUUUGUACCUUGUGUAUCAGGGUUUAUUAAAAUAUUUUAAUUAUUUAAUUUUCUCGAAUUAUAAAGAGCUAAUAUAAUAUAAAUUUAAUUGUGGCAUAAAUUUUUAUAAUAUUAUAUUAGAAAUGAAACGUUAUACGUUUUUUAAGAUAUCUAGUUUCUUAAGAAAUAAAUUUAAUUUAGUUUUUGAAUUUAAUAGUAUUAAUUAUUUAGUAUUAUUUAUUUAAAGAAUAAUAUUUUAAGGGAUAAGCUUUAAAAUAAAAUAUUAAAAAUAUAUAUAUUUUGAAUAAAAAUUAGUAGGAUUGGAAGUGUUUAUUUAUAGUUUGUUAUAAAUAAUUUUUAUUAGAAUAAGAUUUAUAUAGUUUUUAAGUUUUUUAUUAAGAUAAUAUAUUGAAUUAUAGUUUAUAGGUAAUAAUGAUAGAAUUAGUAUAUGUAUGAAGUGUUUAUAUAAUUUAAAUUGUAAAGGUUAAGUUAAGGAACUCGGCAAAUCUAUUUUUCGCCUGUUUAUUAAAAACAUGUCUUUUUGAUUAUAAUUUAAAGUCUAACCUGCCCAAUGAGGAGUUGAAUGGCCGCGGUACUUUGACCGUGCAAAGGUAGCAUAAUCAUUAGUUUUUUAAUUGAAAGCUGGAAUGAACGGUUGGACGAGAAAAUAACUGUCUCAAUUUAAUUGUAUGUAGAAUUUUAUUUAUAAGUAAAAAAGCUUAUAUGAUUUUAAAAGACGAGAAGACCCUAUAGAAUUUUAUAAUUUAAUAUAUCAAUUGGGUUUAGAAUUUUUACACUUUUGAUAUGUUAACUUAUUUUGCUGGGGCAGCAGAAAAAUUGAUUAAACUUUUUUUAUUUAAAUACAUUGAUUUAUGAUUUAUUGAUCCAUUUUUUAUGAUUAUAAGAUUAAAUUACCUUAGGGAUAACAGCGUAAUUUUUUUUUAGAGUUCCUAUCGAAAAAAGAGUUUGCGACCUCGAUGUUGGAUUAAAAUUAACUUUUGGUGCAGGGGCUAAAAGGUUAGGUCUGUUCGACCUUUAAAAUUUUACAUGAUCUGAGUUUAAACCGGCGUGAGCCAGGUUGGUUUCUAUCUUUAAAUAAGUUGGAUAUCUUAGUACGAAAGGAUUAGAUAUUUUUAAAAUUUAAUAUAUUAUGAAUAUGAUU